AAUGAACGUUGGCGGCGUGGAUUAGGCAUGCAAGUCGCGCGAGAACCCGCAAGGGGGAAAGCGGCGAAAGGGACAGUAAUAUGUAGAUUACCUACCCUCUGGACCGGAAUAGCUGCGGGAAACUGCAGGUAAUGCCGGAUAAAGUCUUCGGACCAAAGGUGUGAGUCCGCCGGAGGAUGGGUCUGCAUCCUAUUAGCUUGUUGGUGGGGUAACGGCCUACCAAGGCCAUGAUGGGUAGCGGGUGUGAGAGCACGACCCGCGUCAUUGGGACUGAGACACUGCCCAGACACCUACGGGUGGCUGCAGUCGAGGAUCUUCGGCAAUGGGCGCAAGCCUGACCGAGCGACGCCGCGUGUGGGAUGAAGGCCUUCGGGUUGUAAACCACUGUCAGUGGGGAGGAAAUGUAUGUGGGUACUCCCACAUAUUUGACCUAUCCGCAGAGGAAGUACGGGCUAAGUUCGUGCCAGCCGCCGCCGUAA
rnacentral:rRNA from 1 species